CCAGUCGCGGCGGAAUUAAAAUAGGCCUGACCUAAAUACGAACACAAUGCCAGCGAGGAAGCACGGCUGUGUCAGCGGAAACUCCGACUGUGGAGGAGACAACAUGCUGGGGGAUCGACACCCCCACCCCGGGAAGAGGGUCAGGCUGCCCCAGGCCCAGGGCCAGUGAAAUCUGCAUGACGUGGACACCGACAAGUCCCUGAAGUGUCUCCAAGGGUGGCAAAGAGGUUGACAUUUAACAGCAAAUAGCAAAUAAAAAACCACCAUGAUAAGUGACAAGAAAGACAGCGGAAGAAAGGGGAAAGCUCUAUACUUUCGUCCCUUUAAGGACACGUUUUUCCUGCUUUUUGAACAACGAGCCCCCAUUUUCGUCCCGCAGUUACACAGCUGGCCCGGCCCGGGGCGGAACCACUCAGGGGCCAGGCAGGAAGAGCAGCGUGUCUGGCGUGGUUCCUCUCUCUCUUUUCUUCUUUAUCCAGCUCUCUGAAGACCUGACUGAGCAGAGGCAGGGGGCGGUGGGCCACUGGGCCCAGACAGGCAGCCCACCAGCCUGACAUCAGGGACUCCUUCCUGGAGGCGGCGACAUGAGAGCUGGGCCUGGAGAGGUGACCAGAAUGUUGGCAGGUGGAUGUGGGGGCUUUGAGGACACCCCGCGGCCACCUGUCCAGGAGCCUCGGGGUUCUCCGCGUGCGCAGCUGGCCCUGGCGCCUGAGCAGCGCUCUGGAGGCCCCAGACGAGCCAUCGUGAGAUGAGGGUGGAAGAUGGUGCCUCAGGGACCGGCCGGCGCUCCAGGUCCAGGCCCUGGGAGGCCCACCCGGCCCUCGCUCAACGGACACACGUCUCCUGAGCUUCUGCAGGCCGUGUUCCGGUGCAGGGCCAGAGCAGGGACCAGGCCCAGCCAGGACCCCGGCCGCGUGGUGACGGCCAGCUGGGAAGGACCAAGAGCCUGGGGAGAGACGGUCUCAGCCAUCCGUGGGGACAGGAAGCUCCUGGUCCAGGGGCUCCGGAUGGGGUGGGCCUGGACAACUGUGUCUCAGAGCUGGACGUAGCUCUCAGGGGCUCGAGCAGGAGCCUAGACGUCCUGAAGUGUCGAGGGGCACCCAGCGGGCAGGGGGCCGUGGCCUACAGCUGGCAGCCUCUGAACGAAUCAGAAAGUGGCCCUGCUCUGGGCACAUGCUGUGCCUGGCUGCCAAGUGUGAGGAGCCGGCUGUGGAGAUGCCGCUGGGCCCUGGUGGGCUGUGUGGCCUGCAGUGCAGCCGCAGCUUGCCUGCCCACGGCCUGUCUGACCACAAGGCCUGGCAGGGCAGGCCUACACAUCCUGUGUGUCUGUCCUCUCAGGUCCUGGCCUGCCUCCCCAACAGGGCCCCUUGGGCCACAGGGGGCUGGGUAGUGGGGGCACUCAGCUCAUGCCUUGGAGCCUCAAAUGUGCCAGACACAGUUCUGACCAUUUGGCACCAGUAACUCAUUUAAUUUCCACAGCACCUCCUCAUCUCCAUUUGAUCAGGUCACUGAUGCACAGAGAGGUGAGGUUAUUUGCCCAAAGACACACAGCCAGCAAGGGGCAGAGCUGGGAUUUGCUCUCUAACCACCAGGCAAAAACAUCUUUCUCUUUCUCUCUCAGCUCCCUUUGGUUCUGGCUUAGGCGGCCCCUUUUAGAUCAUUCAGGAUGAAGCCCAGGGAAAUCCAUUAGAACAUUAGAUAAGUCCUCUCCUUUUACAAAUGAAAAAACUGAGGCUCAGAGAGGAAAAGGGACUUGCCUGCAGUCGCACAGCCACUCAUGAUCCCCUGCUCUGGAGUGGAGUGAACAGUCCUGUCCUAUCACCCAAGGGACACUUCCCUCUGAGAUCUCAAAGGUCCUGGCUCUCAGCCUCGGGGGGCCUGGCAGGUGAGGCCUGGGUGACUGGGUGGUUUGUGCCGAGGGUACAGGCGGGGGCUGAAAUCCGCUGCGCACAGCUCACUGGUGAGGUUACGGGGAUGCAGGAGGCAAUUCGAGGCUCCCUGCUGUGCACAGCCCGUCGCCUGGGCAACGAGAACACGCCCCACGCCUUGCCGGUCCCGCCUUCCUGGGGCCUUGGCUGCCGAGUUAGAGUGUCUUCUUCCAAUGUCCUCCCUGGACGCUCUCCCCACUCCUCCAUAUCUAAGCAGCCCAGCCUGCAGCUCUGCGUGUCCCUGACCACUCGACGCCCCCCUCGACCUCAACUUGCUGUCUUGCACUGAAAUCAAGGCCAUUUUCUGUGACCUUGGUCCAGAGUACUGACCUCCGUUUUUUUUUUUUUGAGGAAGAUUAGCCCUGAGCUAACAUCUGCUGCCAAUCCUCCUCUUUUUGCUGAGGAAGACUGGCCCUGAGCUAACAUCCGUGUCCACCUUCCUCUACUUUAUGUGGGACGCCUGCCACAGCAUGGCUUGCCAAGCAGUGUCAUGUCCAUACCCGGGAUCUGAACCAGUGAACCCGGGCUGCCGAAGCAGAACGUGCGAACUUAACUGCUGCGCCACCAGGCCAGCCCCCUGACCUCCUUUUUUAAUAAACAUUGACGUGGGUUCAACUAAAUUAACAUCUCCAUCUUUGACGUACCCUCUGGGAAGGGCUCAAGGGGGCUCAUGACCACGGGGGGUGCUGACACCCCUCCACAGAAAAGCUGUCCUUUACCUUUUCUUGUGAGUCCCGUGCCCCUGGAGUCCUGGGCCAAGGGCCUUCUGUGGAACACGCUCCUCCUCCAGCAGACGGUGGAGGAGCCCGGAGGCAGCUGGGGAGGAGGGGAGGCCGCAGGGGCGUCUCCCAGGUGAUGGGGAUGAGUGUUGUGCCUCUUUCCUGCUUUAGGCCACAAAGCACAAGGUAAGUGUGUGUCCAGCCUGACCUUGGCCAGGAGCUAAGGCGGUUCCUCUGGGCCGGAUCAGCUUCCCAGUCCCUGGAGGAUGCCAGAUUGUGCCAAGUGCCCAGGACCCAACGAGUCGCAAGGGCCAGGGUCCCCUGGGAUGCUGGGGGCUGGGCUGUCCCUGGGCCAGGGCAGGAAAAGUGGCAGAGAGGGGCAUCGGCCUCAGGCCCUGCUCCGGGCUUGGCCCAGCUUGCUGAGCUCGUGGGCCCCAGGCUGAGCUCAGGGGCCCCGGGUGAGGGGACAGAAAUAGGCCAGCUGUGAGCCUUCCCAGGGCUGAGGAGAUGGGCCCACCGCCUCCCAGCGUGCAGGCAUUUUCCGCUCAUUUAUUUAUUUUCAGAGCAGAAGUGGAUUUGAAACGCUCCUUCUGAGUGUUUGCCCCCGGGGGGAUGCCAGGCUUAUGAAUAAUGCAGCACCUCAGGGGCUGGGCGCCCUGGGCUCUGUCCUGCCCUGAUCCUCCAAGUGGACCCCUCCAGGCCCUGGCAUAGCCCACCCUGCACGGCUGCUCUGGGCUUCAGGGGAGUGUCUCUGAGCCUCAGAGACCCCAGCUAUAAACUGGGGUGCUGGCCUCUCCUCGCCACCCAGGGAGCAGCCCAUGGGUGCACGUCCAGCCCUCGCUGCCGCCUCGGACCUCUCCUCGGCCAUCACGGCUCUUGCUCACGGCCUCGUUCAGAGCACUCCAGCCCUUUCUAAACACGCACUGACCGGCAUCAGAGACUGCUGUAACCCCAGGCUGCCGGGGCGCAGGCUGAGCGAGGACCUGGUGUCACUGAGAUCCAGCGGGCUCCAGUCCAAGUGAGCCGCGGGGCUGCGGCGGGCCCAUCUCGUCCCUGUCCUUGGAUUAUUGGGGCGGGCUCGCUUAAAGGGGCUAUGUUUAUGUCUGAGGCAGGCUGCGGUCCUUCUUCCUACCCUGGGCCUCCAGCCUCACUUUUCCUGGGCAGAAAGGGGGGGCCUGUGGAUGCUAGAAAUGUCCCCUGUACCCCAGGGCCUGUGCCUAGGGCAGUGGCCCUGUCUUGCCCCUCAGUCCUCUGCCAAGACCCCUGAGACCACCUCUGAGUUCCUGUGGGACUGAGUCGCUAGUCAAACUCAACUUGGGCGUGGAAGGACCAUCCUCUCUGGCCCACCUCACCUCCCAGGUGGAAGGCCCCCACAGCUCUGGAGAGCCCUCUGUCCAUAGGGCGACACCCUGCAGGCUUCUGGAUGGUUACUGCGAGCCUGAAGCAGGAGUAAUUUAAGUUAGAUGUGGGUAGGACUGCUAGGUGUUAAAAUGGAUGAUCAAAUGGCCUAGCAGCGAGUUCCCCAGGGAAGGGUGGGUGGGUCUGGCCAGGAGCCGGGGAGGGACCAGGAAACCUCCAGUGGCACUCCCCUCCUCCUUCCCCUCCCUCAAGCUCUGGGGGGCAGUGACCUCACACUACUCUCUAUCAUAAUAUUUUUUUUUUUUUUGAGGAAGAUUAGCCCUGAGCUAACUACUGCCAAUCCUCCUCUUUUUGCUGAGGAAGACUGGCCCUGAGCUAACAUCCGCGCCCAUCUUCCCCUACUUUCUAUGUGGGACACCUACCACAGCAUGGCGUUUACCAAGUGGUGCCAUGUCUGCACCCUGGAUUGGAACUUGCGAACCCCGGGCCGCCGAGAAGCGGAACGAGAGCACUUAACCGCUGCACCACCGAGCCGGCCCCUCUAUCAUAAUAUUUACCAACAGCGCCGCAAUUGAGCCAGGCAGCUUGGCAAUUAUAAUCAUGUUAUCAUUAUUGCUGAUAAUUCCGAUCAUAAGCAUAAAUUAUAAACAGGAGCAGGGCACGGCAGGCAGGAGCAGGGAGGCAGGGACGCCCCUAGGAGGGCGAACGGCAGGG
ensembl:lncRNA